rnacentral:rRNA from 1 species
UGGGGAAUAUUGCACAAUGGGCGCAAGCCUGAUGCAGCCAUGCCGCGUGUAUGAAGAAGGCCUUCGGGUUGUAAAGUACUUUCAGCGGGGAGGAAGGCGUAAGUCUGAACAGGGCUUACGAUUGACGUUACCCGCAGAAGAAGCACCGGCUAACUCCGUGCCAG